CUUGUACUCCCUCCGUCCGAAAAUACUUGUCAUUGAAAUUGAUGUAUCUAGAUGUAUUUUAGUUCUAGACACAUCCAUUUUGAUGACAAGUAAUUUCGGACAUAGGGAGUACUUG
rfam:Triticum urartu cultivar G1812 contig407656, whole genome shotgun sequence.